AAAAAAAAAAAAAAAUGGAUAAACCGUACAAGGAGUUCACUUGACCUCCAAAUUCCCUAGAUCAGGGGUGUCAAACAUAAGGCCCGGGGGCCAAAACUGCCCUGUCAGAGGGUCCAUUCCGGCCCGUGGGAUGAAUUUGCAAAAAUUACACUGAAGAUAUUAGCUGAAUUUUUUUUGAUAAAAUAAGAAAUUGAACUUAUACCUUGCACUUCUUCAGAAAUGUAGUGUUGUUCGUUACACGUAGCCGUACUUGUUUGCACGAAAGCAAAGGGAAACAUUAAGAGUUGUUGUUAUUUACCAGGUAAUAUGCUAUUGUGUUACUGGUUCGGCCCCCUCACAUCAAAUUGGGAUGUAUGUGGCCCCUGAACUAGAUCAUAGUUCUUUGACAAGGGGUACAUGACCCCUAGGGGUUGUAUGGAAGUACUGCAGCAUGGUCGCAAAAUCUUUGGUUGAUUAGACAUUUUUAUAUACUGGUACAUAUAUAUAUUUUUUUUCUUUAAUUUUAAUAGUUUCACACAGAGCGCUACACUAGACCUGUCAAUCUAAGCCUCCUGUACACAGUAGGCCCCGCCCCUAUGACUGCUGAGCCAAUCACAAAGUCGCAUAUUACAUGUUGACUCUGUCAGGUUCCCUACAAUUGUCCGAGAACCUAUUCAGUCCCCGAGUGAAAUCCCAGAGCACGCUACAAUAUUAGUAGAAGAGAAGCUAACAGUGUAGCUCACUCAGCCAACUACUGAGGCCGAAAUGGAUCUUUGUUUUAUUUACUUUAUCUUUGUAUGAACUACUGUUUGAAAUAAAAUAAUAAUAAUAAUAAUAAAAAUGAAUAUUUGAUAGAUAUAGAACACAUACAGUGGGUAGGGUACAGUUGUGUCAUGAAUGGGGUAAUAAGUUAUGUAAACUAAAACCACUCUGUAGCAGACGUUGUCCUGUAAAGGUUUAAGAUGGGAUUAUAAUUGAGCCACUACCACACGGAGCUUCAAAAAUAAUUUGGACAUCACGGAGGGUUCGUCCGUCUUCACAUAGCUGUGACAUUCCCACAUUAAUGUGGAUGCGGUGACACAUUUUACCUCUCAGCAAUGACUGUCUGCCUCAGGUGAAGAAGGGAGCGACUGUAACAAUGGUGGAGCCUUGCAAAGCAUCCAUGAAAAGUUUUGAAUGCGGCAGAUUGAAAAGAAACUUUAGAGGAACGAUUAUAGUGUAACAAAAACAAGAAAAAUGAUCAACGGUGAGGACCUACACGGAUUGUUAUCACAACAGAGCGACUGUAGGCAUCAGCCACGUUGUGCAAUUACUCUCAUUGCCAAAGGGAGGGAGCUGCUGCUUUAAACGCACAACUUGUUCAGGGAGGAAACUUCUUGAGGCCGUGAGCGUGGGCCACAGAGACAUGUGACAGAGCGAAGAUCUUGAUCAGGAGGGCUCACGCUGCUGCGUGAGAAACACCUCGGGCAGUUAGGCUAAAUUAUCCAUGGAUGUUACGUCAUCAGCCUGUUCACACGGAGAAGAGCUGCUUGGGGCUGUUUACCUGAGAGAUCUCCAGUGACUGCCGAAGCUCCGAAAUAAUAGCCCUUUGGCAGCCGCACCCCAGGUGUGAGGCGCACCUGCUCGGUGGUUACCAUGGCAUCCCCCAUCAGCUCCCAGUGGGAGGAACCUAAAGAGCCCACACCUGAGAACACAAAA